ACCCGCUGAACUUAAGCAUAUUACUAAAGGCAGGACAAGAAAAUAACAAUGAUUCCCCCAGUAACUGCGAGUGAAGUGGGAAAAGCCCAACGUUGAAAGCUGUGACUCUAACGGGUCAUCGCAUUGUAACGUAUAGAUUUGUUCUCAAGGCAGUUGCCUACAUCAAAGUUACAUAGAAUAGUACACCAGAGAGGGUGGUAGUCCCGUGAGUGAUGUAGGUUACAAAACUGUCGAGUAGACAAACUCUAAGAGUCGAGUUGUUUGGGAUUGCAGCUCAAAUUGGGUGGUAAACUCCAUCUAAGGCUAAAUACAGACACGAGACCGAUAGCGAACAAGUACCGUGAGGGAAAGUUGAAAAGUACUCUGAAAAGAGAGUGAAAAGUACGUGAAACCGUUAAUGGGGAAGCAGACAGUGGAAUCGAAGCUGUGUCCUCAUUGUGUGUUACGGUGUGGCAACUGUUGUUGUCACUUGUGGUGCAUGUAUUGUGGUGCAUAGCGCGCUGGGCCCAUCGUUCAAACAUAGCAUCCCUUAAGAAAGGAUGUGGGUCGACUUGUGAUGCAGCCAUAUGAUAGUGUUGUGUGGAUUCGCGUUCAUUUGAUCGUUGUGUGGUGCAUUGCAUAAGUUGUAAGAUCAAUAGGAGCGAUGUGGUGGACAUUUGUGCGGUGCCAGUAAUGGACAAUGUAUUGGUGUGCGAUAGGAACAACAGCAGUCUUCUGAUUGUUGGAUCAUGUGUGUUGGUUGCAUUGAUUUGCAUGCACAUCUGCAAGGGUGUGUGUGUGAAGGUGUGACUACGCAUGGUUGUGAGUGUUGUGUGCGAGUGCAUUGUCGAUUGCACACGUGUCGGUAGUGGUGCAUAUCCCAGCGAGAUAUGGUACUGUCUGACCCGUCUUGAAACACGGACCAAG
rnacentral:rRNA from 1 species